CUCAAUGAUAUAUUAAACCUACCAUAAAUGAACUGACCAAUAUUCAUAUCUAAUUUCUUUUUAGAUGAGUCAACACCACACAGGAAAGCAGCCGGUUGCCCAGAGCUGGAUGG